AGAGUUUGAUCCUGGCUCAGGACGAACGCUGGCGGCGUGCCUAAUACAUGCAAGUCGAACGCUUCUUUCCUCCCGAGUGCUUGCACUCAAUUGGAAAGAGGAGUGGCGGACGGGUGAGUAACACGUGGGUAACCUACCCAUCAGAGGGGGAUAACACUUGGAAACAGGUGCUAAUACCGCAUAACAGUUUAUGCCGCAUGGCAUAAGAGUGAAAGGCGCUUUCGGGUGUCGCUGAUGGAUGGACCCGCGGUGCAUUAGCUAGUUGGUGAGGUAACGGCUCACCAAGGCCACGAUGCAUAGCCGACCUGAGAGGGUGAUCGGCCACACUGGGACUGAGACACGGCCCAGACUCCUACGGGAGGCAGCAGUAGGGAAUCUUCGGCAAUGGACGAAAGUCUGACCGAGCAACGCCGCGUGAGUGAAGAAGGUUUUCGGAUCGUAAAACUCUGUUGUUAGAGAAGAACAAGGACGUUAGUAACUGAACGUCCCCUGACGGUAUCUAACCAGAAAGCCACGGCUAACUACGUGCCAGCAGCCGCGGUAAUACGUAGGUGGCAAGCGUUAUCCGGAAUUAUUGGGCGUAAAGCGCGCGUAGGCGGUUUUUUAAGUCUGAUGUGAAAGCCCACGGCUCAACCGUGGAGGGUCAUUGGAAACUGGAAAACUUGAGUGCAGAAGAGGAAAGUGGAAUUCCAUGUGUAGCGGUGAAAUGCGCAGAGAUAUGGAGGAACACCAGUGGCGAAGGCGACUUUCUGGUCUGUAACUGACGCUGAUGUGCGAAAGCGUGGGGAUCAAACAGGAUUAGAUACCCUGGUAGUCCACGCCGUAAACGAUGAGUGCUAAGUGUUAGGGGGUUUCCGCCCCUUAGUGCUGCAGCUAACGCAUUAAGCACUCCGCCUGGGGAGUACGACCGCAAGGUUGAAACUCAAAGGAAUUGACGGGGGCCCGCACAAGCGGUGGAGCAUGUGGUUUAAUUCGAAGCAACGCGAAGAACCUUACCAAAUCUUGACAUCCUCUGACCCCUCUAGAGAUAGAGUUUUCCCCUUCGGGGGACAGAGUGACAGGUGGUGCAUGGUUGUCGUCAGCUCGUGUCGUGAGAUGUUGGGUUAAGUCCCGCAACGAGCGCAACCCUUAAGCUUAGUUGCCAUCAUUAAGUUGGGCACUCUAAGUUGACUGCCGGUGACAAACCGGAGGAAGGUGGGGAUGACGUCAAAUCAUCAUGCCCCUUAUGAUUUGGGCUACACACGUGCUACAAUGGACAAUACAAAGGGCAGCGAAACCGCGAGGUCAAGCAAAUCCCAUAAAGUUGUUCUCAGUUCGGAUUGUAGUCUGCAACUCGACUAUAUGAAGCUGGAAUCGCUAGUAAUCGUAGAUCAGCAUGCUACGGUGAAUACGUUCCCGGGUCUUGUACACACCGCCCGUCACACCACGAGAGUUUGUAACACCCGAAGCCGGUGGAGUAACCAUUUGGAGCUAGCCGUCGAAGGUGGGACAAAUGAUUGGGGUGAAGUCGUAACAAGGUAGCCGUAUCGGAAGGUGCGGCUG
rnacentral:rRNA from 1 species